GACGAACGCUGGCGGCGUGCUUAACACAUGCAAGUCGAACGGAAAGGCCCUGCUUUUGUGGGGUUCUCGAGUGGCGAACGGGUGGGUAACACGUGAGUAACCUGCCCUUGACUGUGGGAUAACUUCAGGAAACUGGGGCUAAUACCGGAUAGGAGCUCCUGCUGCAUGGUGGGGGUGGGAAAGUUUCGGCGGGUGGGGAUGGACUCGCGGGUGAUCAGCUUGUUGGUGGGGGAGUGGCUUACCAAGGCUGUGACGGGUAGCCGGCCUGUGAGGGUGACCGGCCACAAUGGGACUGCGAGACGGCCCAGAGUGCUACGGGAGGCAGCAGUGGGGAAUAUUGCACAAUGGGCGGAAGCCUGAUGCAGCAACGCCGGGGGCGGGAUGACGGCCUUGGGGUUGUAAACCGCGUUCGCCUGUGACGAAGCGUGAGUGACGGUAAUGGGUAAAGAAGCACCGGCUAACUACGUG
rnacentral:rRNA from 1 species